AUACGGAGGGGGCUAGCGUUGUUCGGAAUUACUGGGCGUAAAGCGCGCGUAGGCGGUUUGCCAAGUCAGGCGUGAAAUCCCCGGGCUCAACCUGGGAACUGCGUUUGAUACUGGCAGACUAGAGGCCGGGAGAGGGUAGUGGAAUUCCCAGUGUAGAGGUGAAAUUCGUAGAUAUUGGGAAGAACACCGGUGGCGAAGGCGGCUACCUGGACCGGUUCUGACGCUGAGGUGCGAAAGCGUGGGGAGCAAACAGGAUUAGAAACCCCGGUAGUCC
rnacentral:rRNA from 1 species